rnacentral:rRNA from 1 species
AGCCCGGAGAUGGAUUCUGAGACACGAAUCCAGGCCCUACGGGGUGCAGCAGGCGCGAACACUUUACAAUGCGGGAAGCCGCGAUAAGGGAACCCCGAGUGCCAGCAUCAAAUGUUGGCUGUCCAGAUGAUUAAAAAUCAUUUGUUAGCAAGGGCCGGGCAAGACCGGUGCCAGCCGCCGCGGUAACACCGGCGGCCCGAGUGGUAGCCGUUUUUAUUGGGUCUAAAGGGUCCGUAGCCGGCCUGAUAAGUCCUUUGGGAAAUCUGGCAGCUUAACUGUCAGGCUUCUAAGGGAUACUGUCAGGCUUGGGACCGGAAGAGGUAAGGGGUACUCCAGGGGUAGGAGUGAAAUCUUGUAAUNCCCUGGGGGACCAUCUGUGGCGAAGGCGCCUUACCAGAACGGGUCCGACGGUGAGGGACGAAAGCUAGGGGAGCAAACCGGAUUAGAUACCCGGGUAGUCCUAGCUGUAAACGAUGCUCGCUAGGUGUCAGACACGGUGCGACCGUGUUUGGUGCCGNCAGGGAAGCCGUUAAGCGAGCCACCUGGGAAGUACGGUCGCAAGGCUGAAACUUAAAGGAAUUGGCGGGGGAGCAC